rnacentral:lncRNA from 1 species
UAAAUUUGUGCCUCAAAAUAAUUGUCCCCAAUGUAGCAUGACCUUUGUGGGGUCAUGACCACAAAGAUCCUAGAGAGCAGUCUCUUGUCUCUUUCAAACUCCAUCAACACCUGACCUUUCCCAACCUUUCUGAGCUCUUUCACCCUUCCUGCCCCAAGAUGACAAUGGAGAGAUGCGUCCCAUGAUGCAACAGUCUGUGUGCCUUGACCUUGGACUUCUAGCAAGUGUCUGUAAGAAAUAAACACUUCUUGUUCCC